rnacentral:tRNA from 1 species
GCCCGCGUAGCUCAGGGGAUAGAGCAGGGCUUUCCUAAAGCUCAGGCCGCAGGUUCGAAUCCUGCCGCGGGUA